rnacentral:rRNA from 1 species
AUUGAACGCUGGCGGCAUGCUUUACACAUGCAAGUCGAACGGCAGCGCGGGCUUCGGCCUGGCGGCGAGUGGCGAACGGGUGAGUAAUGCAUCGGAACGUGCCCAGUAGUGGGGGAUAGCCCGGCGAAAGCCGGAUUAAUACCGCAUACGACCUGAGGGUGAAAGCGGGGGACCGAAAGGCCUCGCGCUAUUGGAGCGGCCGAUGUCGGAUUAGCUAGUUGGUGGGGUAAAGGCUUACCAAGGCGACGAUCCGUAGCUGGUCUGAGAGGACGACCAGCCACACUGGAACUGGAACACGGCCCAGACUCCAACGGGAGGCAGCGUGGGGAAUUUUGGACAAUGGGGGCAACCCUGAUCCAGCCAUGCCGCGUGCGGGAAGAAGGCCUUCGGGUUGUAAACCGCUUUUGUUCGGGAAGAAAUCCUCUGGGCUAAUACCCCGGGGGGAUGACGGUACCGGAAGAAUAAGCACCGGCUAACUACGUG